UAAGCCUCCGCACAUAUCUGCCUCCUUCCUUUACGCGUUCUCGUCCACCUCUGCCCCUCCCGCACGCCGCCGCCAGCCCGAGCACGCGUACUCCCCUCCUCUGUGUUGAUGCUGCUCAAGCAUGCUUCCUUCUCUGCGCCUCCCUCCGGCCGCCGGCUUCCUCUGGCCGGACGGCCGCCGGCCUCCUCUGGCCGGACGACCGCCGGCCAUGGGGUAUGGGAUGAAGGGACCCGGCCACCUUGGGAUGGACGCCACGGAAGCGACUAUCUGGACGCCGCCGCCUGGCGCGGGCCAGGGUGCUCGCGACGCGACCAAUCGUCCACGUCGGCCCCUCACCGAUCUGUGCCGGUUUUGCAUCGCCGUGCCGCCGUCUUCAUCCACCUCUCACUGCGUACUAUUAUGGGUGCUCGGCGAACAAACCCACCUACUGCCAUAUCCGUCUCAAGAUUGAACGCACCUCACCCAUCCUUCGUUUCACAGCCCUGGGCGGCUACAUUGACGACCGAGUGAGCAAGCAGAUGUGUAAUGCAAAACAUGUGAUGUGCAGUUUAGGACCAAAUCCACUGGGACCGAUCGAUGGAAUUCAGAGGUGCAUGUACUGACGAAAUCUCAUGGUGACUCUAUUAAUGUAGAAUUAAUUUUCAGAAAAUGACUUUUCUUUGUUACCACUUAGCUGCAGUCUGCCGUAUACCAGAAAGAUCAUUAUGCAUAUUUUUUCUAUGUCUUAUAUCCUAACAUUCAUUUCUUUGAUGAUCAGUACAACAGAACUUGUUGAGACCCUUUAGAGUGGUUAUUUUAAUGACUCAACUUCUCUCUUUUUUGUAAGGAACCUUUAGAGAAGUUGAAGCUGAGCAUCAAAGUUUGGAAUAUUUUUACCAACAACCAAGAGAUUCCCAUGCCCUAGGGCCCGGUCAUGUGCAGGUUGUGUCGCUCACCAAGAAAAGACAGCAUCCAUGAUUGUUGAUGGCUUUGGCCUUUUGAUCCUGUGCUUUGUUGCCAUAGAGAAUUUGAGUGUUAGACUUCUCACAAGUCAAUCACAAGUUCACCAUCCAUGAUUGUCGAUGGUAAACAUUUAACUGUUUGGAGCCCUGUUCGCUUGCAAGAUUACUAAGAGCACCCUGCGCAAUUCCUUGACUGUUUGACACAGCGAGCGUCGAGCGGAAGGGCUCCCGGCGGAGGCACAGCCGCCAGGGGCAUCUCCUUCAUUUGGCCACUGCUUCCCUUGGCCAACAGUGAAUAGCAGUCGUGGUAUCACGUCAUUCACUUGCCUACCAUAGAUUGACCGCUGAUGCGGGCGCUCCGCUCCACUACUCCAUCUCAUACUGUAUAUUUCCCCUCUUUAUAUCUAGAUAAAGUAUAGCAUGUAAAUAUGCUUAAGUUCACAAAUAGCUUUUUCCUUCUAUCUUCACUUAUACUAUUUGGGUUAGUAAAAAUGUAACUAAAUUCAGCGGAUGUGUUACUUGAAGCCAUAUUAUAGGAUUACUCAAGUGGUGUUGUUGAUGAUCUGAUUUAGAAUUUGGUAUGAUGUAACCAUCAGUUCAGUAGAUAAUUCCUUUAUAUUA